UCCUUUUGUAAAGAAAUGACCAGCUGCAAGC
rnacentral:piRNA from 1 species